rnacentral:rRNA from 1 species
UGCCAGCCGCCGCGGUAAUACGUAGGGUGCAAGCGUUAUCCGGAAUCACUGGGCGUAAAGGGUACGUAGGCGGCUUUGCAAGUCAGAAGUGAAAGGCAUUGGCUCAACCAAUGUAAGCUUUUGAAACUGCAAGGCUAGAGUUCAGGAGAGGUAAGUGGAAUUCCUAGUGUAGAGGUGAAAUUCGUAGAUAUUAGGAGGAACACCAGUGGCGAAGGCGACUUACUGGACUGAUACUGACGCUGAGGUACGAAAGCGUGGGGAGCAAACAGGAUUAGAUA